UUUUCAAAUUUAAAAUACUGCAACUCAAACAAGUAAAUGGCUAAAAGAUCAGAUAGCACACGGGAUCAGUGUUUCAGAGUCUCCUUGAUUAAAAUAUCUUAUAUUAUUAAAAUACAUUUAUUAAUCUCUGAAAUCUUAUUUCUAGGAUAGAACAAAACUAGUGAGACCACAUGUUAAUUUUGAUUUUUCAAUAGAAACCUAUACUGUCUUACUAAGAAAAAGUGCUAAAUAUAUUAGUUUUGAGAUUUAUUUUUUUUUAUUUAUUUAAUUAAAAUCUACAAUCUAUACAAAUAUUGUAUAAUAGUUUGAUGACUGAGAAAAUACAAAUAAAAUAUAGAGAUUGGCAUGAGUAGGGAAAUUACCAAGCAGUUUUGAGAUAAAUGCAUGUUUGUAUUUUUCAUACUCUUAUACCUUUAUUUUUUUAUAUUAUAUUUAAUUUAGUA